AGCACCCCGGUGAAUCCUGUCUGGAGCACUUGCUGCAGGGAAGGCCCUCCCGUCAUUGCCAGCUGGACUUUCCUCUGUUUGAAAUGGGACAGAGUGGAAGAGGUCUGGGGGAGGAUCUUCACAGAGUUGUGAGUUCUGGCGUGCGAUGUUGGCUGAGUUGCUGGGCUCCCUGGUGUUUGUGAGUGCUGUGCUGGGGGCCUCUGUGCCGGCCCUGGAGAGGCCUCCAUGGGGCUCCUCUACCCAGCCCUGGCCGCAGGCAUGGUGGCUGUCACCCUGGGACACUGUUUUAUAGAGAUCAGCUGGGCACAGGCUGGACUUGUCUAUUUUUAUCUCUCAAAGAAUGGACUUGCUGAGGGCACUGGUGUUCCUCUGGAGGUAAAUGUGGUGAAUGUGGAACUUUGAAAGUUUCUCCAAGUGCAGUCGCAAAACCCAUCAAGCGCUAUGAUGAAACUGGC
ensembl:lncRNA